CCUACGGGAGGCAGCAGUGAGGAAUAUUGGUCAAUGGACGCAAGUCUGAACCAGCCAUGCCGCGUGCAGGAAGACGGCUCUAUGAGUUGUAAACUGCUUUUGCACGAGGGUAAACGCAGAUACGCGUAUCUGUCUGAAAGUAUCGUACGAAUAAGGAUCGGCUAACUCCGUGCCAGCAGCCGAGGUAAGACGGAGGAUUCAAGGGUUAUCCGGAUUGAUUGGGUUGAAGGGGUGCGUAGGCGGAAUGCCAAGUCAGCGGGAAAAUCGCGGGGCUAAACCUCGCUCCGCCGUUGAAACUGGCGUUCUUGAGUGGGCGAGAAGAUAGCGGAAUGCGUGGUGUAGCGGUGAAAUGCAUAGAUAUCACGCAGAACUUCGAUGGCGAAGGCAGCAAACCGGCGCCCAACUGACGCUGAAGCACGAAAGCGUGGGUAUCGAACAGGAUUAGAUACCCGAGUAGUC
rnacentral:rRNA from 1 species